GACGAACGCUGGCGGCGUGCUUAACACAUGCAGGUCGAACGGAAAGGCCCUGCUUUUGUGGGGUGCUCGAGUGGCGAAAGGGUGAGUAACACGUGAGUAACCUGCCCUUGACUUUGGGAUAACUUCAGGAAACUGGGGCUAAUACCGGAUAGGAGCUCCUGCUGCAUGGUGGGGGUUGGAAAGUUUCGGCGGUUGGGGAUGGACUCGCGGCUUAUCAGCUUGUUGGUGGGGUAGUGGCUUACCAAGGCUUUGACGGGUAGCCGGCCUGAGAGGGUGACCGGCCACAUUGGGACUGAGAUACGGCCCAGACUCCUACGGGAGGCAGCAGUGGGGAAUAUAGCACAAUGGGCGGAAGCCUGAUGCAGCAACGCCGCGUGCGGGAUGACGGCCUUCGGGUGGUAAACCGCUUUCGCCUGUGACGAAGCGUGAGUGACGGUAAUGGGGAAAGAAGCACCGGCUAACUACGU
rnacentral:rRNA from 1 species